rnacentral:rRNA from 1 species
AUUGAACGCUGGCGGCAUGCCUUACACAUGCGAGUCGAACGGCAGCGCGGGAGCAAUCCUGGCGGCGAGUGGCGAACGGGUGAGUAAUACAUCGGAACGUGCCCAAUCGUGGGGGAUAACGCAGCGAAAGCUGUGCUAAUACCGCAUACGAUCUACGGAUGAAAGCAGGGGAUCGCAAGACCUUGCGCGAAUGGAGCGGCCGAUGGCAGAUUAGGUAGUUGGUGAGGUAAAGGCUCACCAAGCCUUCGAUCUGUAGCUGGUCUGAGAGGACGACCAGCCACACUGGGACUGAGACACGGCCCAGACUCCUACGGGAGGCAGCAGUGGGGAAUUUUGGACAAUGGGCGAAAGCCUGAUCCAGCCAUGCCGCGUGCAGGAUGAAGGCCUUCGGGUUGUAAACUGCUUUUGUACGGAACGAAACGGUCUUUUCUAAUAAAGAAGGCUAAUGACGGUACCGUAAGAAUAAGCACCGGCUAACUACGUG